UGGAUACUCCCUCCGUCCGGAAAUACUUGUCAUCAAAAUGAAUAAAAGAGAAUGUAUCUAGAUGUAUUUUAGUUUUAGAUACAUUUCUUUUUGUCCAUUUUGAGUAUUUUCGGAAGGAGGGAGUACAAU
rfam:Triticum aestivum genome assembly, contig: Triticum_aestivum_CS42_TGACv1_scaffold_049680_1BS